UAACUGAGUGGCGAACGGGUGAGUAACGCGUGGGUGACCUACCUUCGAGUGGGGGAUAACGUCCCGAAAGGGACGCUAAUACCGCAUGACAUCCUCUCUUUGAACAGAGGGAGAUCAAAGCCGGGGAUCGCAAGACCCGGCGCUUGAUGAGGGGCCCGCGUCUGAUUAGCUAGUUGGUGGGGUAAUGGCCCACCAAGGCGACGAUCAGUAUCCGGCCUGAGAGGGCGGACGGACACACUGGGACUGAGACACGGCCCAGACUCCUACGGGAGGCAGCAGUGGGGAAUUGUUCACAAUGGGCGCAAGCCUGAUGACGCAACGCCGCGUGGAGGAUGAAGGUCUUCGGAUUGUAAACUCCUGUUGCUCGGGAAGAAUAGCUCCGACCUAAUACGUCGGAGUGUGACGGUACCGGGUGAGGAAGCCCCGGCUAACUCUGUGCCAGCAGCCGCGGUAAUACAGAGGGGGCAAGCGUUG
rnacentral:rRNA from 1 species